rnacentral:rRNA from 1 species
UACGUAGGGGGCGAGCGUUGUCCGGAAUUACUGGGCGUAAAGAGCGUGUAGGCGGGAUCUUAAGUCAGGUGUGAAAACCCGAGGCUCAACUUCGGGACUGCACUUGAAACUGGGGUUCUUGAGGGCAGGAGAGGAAAGUAGAAUUCCUGGUGUAGCGGUGAAAUGCGUAGAUAUCAGGAGGAAUACCGGUGGCGAAGGCGGCUUUCUGGACUGACCCUGACGCUGAGACGCGAAAGCGUGGGGAG